rnacentral:rRNA from 1 species
ACGUAGGGUGCGAGCGUUAAUCGGAAUUACUGGGCGUAAAGCGUGCGCAGGCGGUCUUGUAAGACAGUUGUGAAAUCCCCGGGCUUAACCUGGGAACUGCAUCUGUGACUGCAAGGCUGGAGUGCGGCAGAGGGGGAUGGAAUUCCGCGUGUAGCAGUGAAAUGCGUAGAUAUCAGGAGGAAUACCGAUGGCGAAGGCAGGUCUCUGGGCUGACACUGACGCUCAUGCACGAAAGCGUGGGGAGCAAACAGGA